GCUGCUUUAUUAGAGAUGGAAAUAGCACUCGAUCAACUUUUGAUGUCUUUGUUUGUAUCUUGUGUUGCUUGAGCAUGUCUCCAGUGUGUCUUCAUGGGGUCAAAGACACCUACAUCUAAUGGCUGAAGUGCAUGAGGUGUGUUUGGGUGGAAGGCAGACAAUCUGGAUUCCUGCAGCUUUGGCAGUCUUCAGCAAGGGCAGAUUGAUGUGGGAAAGGUGGCCAUCGAAUAUCAAUAUAACUUUCCCAUUGACGAGUUGAUCUUGGACUUUAGGAAGAAACAACUUCUUAAACCAACUGGCAAAAUUUAGUUAUUCCGUCCAUCCUGAGGAACUCACUCCAUACACAGCAGCCCCCUUGUCCUCCAGUGGUGUAUUUAGACAAGAGAUUCUUGCCUUUAUAGAGAAUAAAUGGAGGGAAAUACUGACCAGCAGCUGAACCACAAUGAUGAACAGUUAUGUACUCCCUGCCACUUCCUCCCCCAACUUCAUAUACACCUUUAGCACCACGUUUUGCUAUGACUUUUAGUGAAAUUGUUUCUGUUGUAAACGCUGUUUCGUCACAGUUUCAUAUUCGUUUGCUGAUCUUCAUGCGAUGUUGGGAUCUUCAUCAUUAAGGUGUGCAGACUCAUACACUGCAGACAGUUUCUUUGUCCAUUCUUGGAUAACUUUGCAGAAUCGGCCAUCGUUUCAUAAAUGAGUACCACCGAGACUAACCAGGGAUUCCAUUCUUGAAUGGGUUUGGUAUUCUGUUGUCAGAAAUAUAUGACGCACCACAAGAAAAACUACGUCUUUGAGAGAAUGGUUGGUUUUCCUGCACCCACUUGUGACCGGAUUCCUUUGUAGUGAUCAUGCAAGGUCUUAGUUGGUAUACCAAAGUAACAAGCUGCUGGUCGGAAGCUCAUUGACUUGUCAUUCCUCAGAAGAGCAACAGCAGCAUCCAGAUCUUCGUUGCUGUAAUAUACAGCUUUCGUUUUCUUGUAACUUCGUACCAUAUUGCGUAGAGCAAUUGUAGCAAUUGCCAACAGACGGUCAGCUAGGUACUUACUGAUUGGACUUAUACGUUUCUAGUUAUAUAAGACUUGGUUGAAGGUGGGUGGCACCAUAGUAAAUUUUCUUUGUGAUAUGUAGUUGGGUAGAAUACAAGUAAACACUACAAAGGUAAUGAGAACGAAAUUCUAAAG